rnacentral:rRNA from 1 species
GAGUAAUGUCUGGGAAACUGCCUGAUGGAGGGGGAUAACUACUGGAAACGGUGGCUAAUACCGCAUAACGUCGCAAGACCAAAGAGGGGGACCUUCGGGCCUCUUGCCAUCAGAUGUGCCCAGAUGGGAUUAGCUUGUUGGUGAGGUAACGGCUCACCAAGGCGACGAUCCCUAGCUGGUCUGAGAGGAUGACCAGCCACACUGGAACUGAGACACGGUCCAGACUCCUACGGGAGGCAGCAGUGGGGAAUAUUGCACAAUGGGCGCAAGCCUGAUGCAGCCAUGCCGCGUGUAUGAAGAAGGCCUUCGGGUUGUAAAGUACUUUCAGCGGGGAGGAAGGUGUUGUGGUUAAUAACCGCAGCAAUUGACGUUACCCGCAGAAGAAGCACCGGCUAACUCCGUGCCAGCAGCCGCGGUAAUACGGAGGGUGCAAGCGUUAAUCGGAAUUACUGGGCGUAAAGCGCACGCAGGCGGUCUGUCAAGUCGGAUGUGAAAUCCCCGGGCUCAACCUGGGAACUGCAUUCGAAACUGGCAGGCUUGAGUCUUGUAGAGGGGGGUAGAAUUCCAGGUGUAGCGGUGAAAUGCGUAGAGAUCUGGAGGAAUACCGGUGGCGAAGGCGGCCCCCUGGACAAAGACUGACGCUCAGGUGCGAAAGCGUGGGGAGCAAACAGGAUUAGAUACCCUGGUAGUCCACGCCGUAAACGAUGUCUACUUGGAGGUUGUGCCCUUGAGGCGUGGCUUCCGGAGCUAACGCGUUAAGUAGACCGCCUGGGGAGUACGGCCGCAAGGUUAAAACUCAAAUGAAUUGACGGGGGCCCGCACAAGCGGUGGAGCAUGUGGUUUAAUUCGAUGCAACGCGAAGAACCUUACCUGGUCUUGACAUCCACGGAAGAAUUCAGAGAUGGAUUUGUGCCUUCGGGAACCGUGAGACAGGUGCUGCAUGGCUGUCGUCAGCUCGUGUUGUGAAAUGUUGGGUUAAGUCCCGCAACGAGCGCAACCCUUAUCCUUUGUUGCCAGCGGUCCGGCCGGGAACU